UUACUUUCAAUGUAUAUAUACUAAAACUGGAACAAUACAGAGAAGAUUAGCAUGGCCCCUGCGCUAGCUUGAUCACUGGUCUAAAAUAAGAGUCAUGUUUUGUU